rnacentral:misc_RNA from 1 species
GUGAAGAACGUAGCGAAAUGCGAUAAGUAAUGUGAAUUGCAGAAUCCAGUGAAUCAUCGAAUCUUUGAACGCACAUUGCGCCCGCCAGCAUUCUGGCGGGCAUGCCUGUUCGAGCGUCAUUUCAACCCUCGACCUCCCUUUGGGGAAGUCGGCGUUGGGGACCGGCAGCACACCGCCGGCCCUGAAAUGGAGUGGCGGCCCGUCCGCGGCGACCUCUGCGUAGUAAUCCAACUCGCACCGGAACCCCGACGCGGCCACGCCGUAAAACACCCAACUUCUGAACGUUGACCUCGAAUCAGGUAGGACUACCCGCUGAACUUAAGCAUAUCAAUAAGCGGAGGA